rnacentral:lncRNA from 1 species
UUAUACUUUUGUUUUAAUUUGCUUUAUUUUGUUCUAUUUUAUGUUUUUUUUUUUUUUUUUUGCUAUUAAAAUUAGGAAAAUUUUAUAUAUAAAAUUAUAAUUUUUUUUUUUCUUACUUCUCUUGCUAUUCUUAACACAUUUAACUGUGCUGUGCUCAUGCAUUUUUAUUUGUUUUAAAAAAAUGUGCUUAAAAAAUAGUAUAUAAUUAAAGGAUUACAACAAAAAUAUUAAUUAUUUUCCAAAUAGACUGAUGAACAAGAUGGGCUUAAAUGGCAAUGUGGAUAUUACAAAUUUAAUAAACGAAAGGGAUAGCUGGAUGAAGAAGUAUGAGGUAAUGGAAUCAGAGUAUUUAAGCCUAAAAGACAAAUUAAAAAAUAUGACAGACAGUAGUAAUAAUAAGAACAAAGUAAAGGAGGAUUAUGAGACUAUAGUGAAAGAUAUGUUCUUGAGAUAUAAAUAUAUGGUAUGGAAGAAUGUACAACAACGUGGUUAUACAUGUUCAUAUAUACAUGUCCAUAUAUACAUAUAC